CAAUAGCGUAUAUUAAAGUUGUUGCAGUUAAAAAGCUCGUAGUUGGAUUUCGGGGCAGCCUGGCUGGUCCGCCGCAAGGCGAGUACUGGUCAGCCGCCCUUCCUCUCGAAAGCCCCGACUGCUCUUCGUUGCAGUGGUCGGGUAGUUCGGGACGUUUACUUUGAAAAAAUUAGAGUGUUCAAGGCAGGCCUACGCCUGAAUACAUUAGCAUGGAAUAAUGGAAGAGGACCUCGGUCCUAUUUUGUUGGUCUCCAGGGCCGAAGUAAUGAUUAAGAGGGACAGUUGGGGGCAUUCGUAUUUAAUUGUCAGAGGUGAAAUUCUCGGAUUUAUGAAAGACGAACAACUGCGAAAGCAUUUGCCAAGGAUGUUUUCAUUAA
rnacentral:rRNA from 1 species